UCUUCUUUAUCCAUUCAUCUAUGAAUGGAUACUUGCACUGCUUCCAUAAUCUUGGCUAUUGUAAAUAAAGCUGUGGUAAACAGAGGGGUGUAUAUAUCUUCACAGUAGUGGUUUCAUUUACUUUGGGUAUUCUCAGUAGUGGAAUUACUGGAUUAUAGGGUUUUCUAUUUUUAA